rnacentral:rRNA from 1 species
AGAGCGAACGCUGGCGGCGUGCUUAACACAUGCAAGUCGAACGCGCAGCAUUCUGUAGCAAUACAGGGUGUGGGCGCGUGGCGAACGGGUGCGUAACACGUGGAUAACCUUCCUUGAGGUGGGGAAUAACCCAGUGAAAAUUGGGCUAAUACCGCAUAACAUCGCAAGAUCAAAGCAGCAAUGCGCUGGAAGAGGGGGUCGCGGCUGAUUAGCUAGUUGGCGGGGUAACGGCCCACCAAGGCGAAGAUCGGUA